GAUGGACGCUGGCGGCGUGCCUAAUACAUGCAAGUCGAGCGAACAGACGAGGAGCUUGCUCCUCUGACGUUAGCGGCGGACGGGUGAGUAACACGUGGAUAACCUACCUAUAAGACUGGGAUAACUUCGGGAAACCGGAGCUAAUACCGGAUAAUAUAUUGAACCGCAUGGUUCAAUAGUGAAAGACGGUUUUGCUGUCACUUAUAGAUGGAUCCGCGCCGCAUUAGCUAGUUGGUAAGGUAACGGCUUACCAAGGCAACGAUGCGUAGCCGACCUGAGAGGGUGUUCGGCCACACUGGAACUGAGACACGGUCCAGACUCCUACGGGAGGCAGCAGUAGGGAAUCUUCCGCAAUGGGCGAAAGCCUGACGGAGCAACGCCGCGUGAGUGAUGAAGGUCUUCGGAUCGUAAAACUCUGUUAUUAGGGAAGAACAAAUGUGUAAGUAACUAUGCACGUCUUGACGGUACCUAAUCAGAAAGCCACGGCUAACUACGUG
rnacentral:rRNA from 1 species